ACAAUGAUGAUGUCACUGAUUCUACUGCUGGCCACCCUGGGGCUCCUUGUUCAGGGUUCAUCAGGACAAAUCAUCCUGACUCAGUCUCCUGGAUCUCAGUCUGUUGUUCCAGGACAGGCUGUCUCUCUCAAAUGUAAAACCAGUACAGGUGUUUAUAGUUAUGGUUCCAGCUGGCUCAGCUGGUACCUUCAGAAACCUGGAGAAGCUCCUAAACUCCUGAUUUAUGCAGCUACAACCCGUCUGUCUGGAGUUCCAGAUCGUUUUAGUGGAAGUGGAUCUGGGACUGACUUCACUCUGACCAUCAGUGGAGUUCAGGCUGAAGAUUCAGGAGUUUACUACUGUCAGCAGGGUUACAGCAGACCGUUCACACAGUGAUACAACGUCGUACAAAAACCUCCCUCAGCUGGAGAGGAACUGAUCUGACUCAACAGCUGCACUGAAACUAAAACAGAGGUUUAUAAAAAAAAGUUCAAAUCAAUUCAUUUUGAACAUUGUAAGAAAAUAUUUAGUAUUUAAUCCAAACAUAUACUUUUAAUAUUCUUUUAAAACAGGGUUUCAUUCAUCAAUGCAGUCGUUUAAAUUACAUCAAUAACUUUGAUAAAUUUAAUCUAUGAACUAAAAUAAACACAUUUGUACAUAUUACUUUUCUUACAUUUUUUCAUACAAACUUGAUCAAACACAUUGCUGAUAUAAAAUACAUUUAAUCUCAACAUCUAAAUUUGUUCAUGUUGUCAAAUUAAUAAUAAUGUCUGACAAAUUUCAGUUAUUCUGUGUGUUUUGUUUUCCAAAACAAAAAUGCAUUUAAUGAUUGAUAUCUAAAAGGGUUUAUGGAGAAAGUAAAUCAGUAACAUUUGAAUUCCUUUUCUCAUCUUUUAUUUUUCUUUGUGGUUCUUCAGCAGAAUCAGUAUGUAAAUAGCUCCUGGUUAGAAUAGCAGAUUACACUAAUGUGGUGCUUUUUAGUUUAUUUAUGUAAAAUAUUUGGAUUCACCUACGCAAUAAAAAUAUUAAAGUUAUUAACCUUAAGCCAGAUUUUCAAAUGUACCUACCAUGGGUUUGUUCCAAAGGUUUAUUACUGCAGAGUAAUCUGGAAUGACGACAGUAUUCAUCAACGCAUUCAUAAUGAAUGAAAAAUGAUGGACUUCUUCUACCAUCACUGUUUUGUAGUAACCAAAACAUAAUGAGGAGUUUUGUCUGAGUUUGUUAACUCUGAAUAUUCUGUAUCUUUAGAAAUAUAUUAUGACGUUAAACUGUUGUUCUCUGGAUGUAAAACAGUCACUGACACCAUCAAGAGAACAUUUAUUAAGACACUUUGAUGAUAAUAAACAUGAAAACAGCUGAUUGGAUGAAAAGGUCUUUAUUAUCUGGAAACACUGAAAUAAUAUUGAAACAGUGCAACAAGCUAGUAAAUCUUGCUGUUGAAAGAU